CACAUCAAUCCCUAGCUACAUGUCGGGUCUACUUCCUUUGGAUACAAUGCCCCACGGUCCCCGUCGACGCCGUACUGUGACUGCACUUGUACCCACAUGAUGCACCAGGGGAACUAAGUUCCAGAGAUAGUAGGGCGGUCCGCUCACAUCCCGAUUCAAUCAGGUACUAGGCUUCCCAUCCCAUACUAGGUAUGAGAUUAGUACUUUCAAACACUUGAUCACGAACACCGACACGGUUUGACCUUAGCACAAUUUCAUUU
rnacentral:lncRNA from 1 species